rnacentral:rRNA from 1 species
AAAUUGAAGAGUUUGAUCAUGGCUCAGAUUGAACGCUGGCGGCAGGCCUAACACAUGCAAGUCGAACGGUAACAGGAAACAGCUUGCUGAUUCGCUGACGAGUGGCGGACGGGUGAGUAAUGUCUGGGAA